UACGAAGGGGGCUAGCGUUGCUCGGAAUCACUGGGCGUAAAGGGUGCGUAGGCGGGUCUUUAAGUCAGGGGUGAAAUCCUGGAGCUUAACUCCAGAACUGCCUUUGAGACUGCAUCGCUUGAAUCGUGGAGAGGUAAGUGGAAUUCCGAGUGUAGAGGUGAAAUUCGUAGAUAUUCGGAAGAACACCAGUGGCGAAGGCGACUUACUGGACACGUAUUGACGCUGAGGUGCGAAAGCGUGGGGAGCAAACAGG
rnacentral:rRNA from 1 species